UCACUUCUUUGCGUAGGAUAUAGCCAUUGGGUUGUAUGGGGUGAUCUUGAAACCCUGCAGAGCUUGCAUUGCAACCAUAGACUGGCUGUCGUCCUCGUAUUCCACAAAAGCAAUGCCUGGCUUGGCUUCGAUCAUCCGGACUUCCCUGAAACCAGGGUACUGCUGGAACAGGAUCUGGAGCAUCAUGCUUGUAGUCUCAGCUGGUAAGUUCUGGAUGAAAAGGAUAUUGUUUGGAGGUGCAGGUGGCUCUUGCGAAGUCUUGCCCAGGCUAAAGAACUUACAGUCCCAUUGCUUUGGGCAGCAGCAUUAGGACCAGAUUGUUGCGCCUCUUCAGCUCGUCGUUUUUUCUCCGCACCUUUCUCCUCUUGCUUCUUUCUUUUCUCUUUUGGAGCAGUAGAACCAUCUUCGGUUGCAAGACAGUCAGAUCUUGUUUUCGCAUAUUUGCAAAUGAUUACCAUUCUUUUGCCAUAAAAAUCGAAUUCCUGCAGUCCACGGAAAGCAUUUGUGGCGGCGGUAAUUUCGCUGAAGACCACCCAUGCCUGCCCCCUCAGUUUAGGUGUUUUUAAGGCCACCACAUCCAGUAUCCUCCCAUAUUGGGAGCACAACGCAUAGAAAGAUGCGUACCUUCUUUCUUGACCUUCUCGUUGAGGUUCCUGAGGUAGACCGUCUGGUUCGGGGGUAUGUCGCCGGACAACAUCUCCGCCGCGCCGCCGCCGAAGACGAGGAGGAAGGGAGACGAGACGAGCAGGAGA
rnacentral:sRNA from 1 species